UGGGUGGAUACGGACAAAGCACUUCAUAGGUUGGACAGGAGAAGGCAGCGGAAGAUAAAGGACUGGGACAAGCAUCAUGCUUCGUAUGUUACCCGCUUCCAGCUUUGUGUGGAGGAAGCUCGUAGCAGUGCACGCGCCAAGCUUCGUGAGCAUAGUCCACUUGCUUUUGAUAACUACAUACGAUGGCUUCUUGAAAAUACUCGAGUUGAGAUAUGCCCGCCGGCAUAUAAUGAGGAUGUUCUUGAAGAACCCAUAAACUUUGAGGAUCUAUCAAAGGGGAAGUACAACAGAGAUGUCAGGGUAGGGCACGGAGUCCCUGCUGUUCCGGUGAUUAACUAUGUGCGCACCGAGAUCAAGAAAGCAGCUGAUGAGAGCCAGUCUAUUCUGGAGG